rnacentral:rRNA from 1 species
GACGAACCGUACGAACGUUAUUCGGAAUUACUGGGCUUAAAGGGUGCGUAGGCGGCGCAGUAAGUUGGGUGUGAAAUCCCUCGGCUUAACCGAGGAAUUGCGCCCAAAACUACUGUGCUCGAGGGAGGUAGAGGUGAGCGGAACUUAGGGUGGAGCGGUGAAAUGCGUUGAUAUCCUAAGGAACACCGGUGGCGAAAGCGGCUCACUGGACCUCUUCUGACGCUGAGGCACGAAAGCUAGGGUAGCAAACGGG